GGGGAAAGGGCUUUCCUUUGUUGUGUCACAGAAGAGCUCCCAGCAGAGCGCAGCUUUCGCGUCUCUCCUGCAUAUCUCGGCCCUCUGCUUCCAGCAGGCAGGCUCUCCCGGACUCAGGUGGGAUGGGGGACAGGCGGUGGGUGAGGGGCAAGCACAGCCCCACAUGCCCUGGAGUCACUGUUUCCCCCUGACUUAAACACCCUCCUACAGAGUUUGACCGGCCCUGCCAGAUCUGCUCACUCAGUGCUUUUUUUUUUUCAUUCUCAGGGACUCCAUGGUCCUCCACAGCCUGGCUGUCGUCAGGGUCUCCGCUCUUUAGAGUCAAGAGCAUUGCUGGCUGGAGACAAGAGAUGGCGCUGUGAGCCCAACGGAAAGAGAAGGCGUGAUUAUUAUAUGUCAGCUAGGUUAGCCCGAUUUAUCUGCAGGAGAGGUUUCACGACCAGCAGCUACAACCAUGGUGACCACUGAAACACACUGUUACAUUCUCUUGGGCUUGGACUAUUUGGAGAACCAACGAUUAUUUUAGCAAGGGAAAAUGGAGCACCAUCUUCCUUCUGGAGAAUCUUUGAUGGGUAGGUAGAGCAGGGGAAAAUGACAAUAGUUAACUUUUAUUGAACAUGUAUUCUCUUCCAGGCACCAUUGUUAGUACUUUACCUGCAUUAUUUCAUUUAUUUCUCAUAACUCUG
rnacentral:lncRNA from 1 species